rnacentral:miRNA from 1 species
UUCAUCAGGCCUCAGUCAUCUACAU